UACGGAGGGUGCAAGCGUUAUCCGGAUUUACUGGGUUUAAAGGGUGCGUAGGUGGGUCUGUAAGUCAGUGGUGAAAUCUCCGGGCUUAACCCGGAAAUUGCCAUUGAUACUAUAGGUCUCGAAUCAUCUGGAGGUAAGCGGAAUAUGUCAUGUAGCGGUGAAAUGCUUAGAUAUGACAUAGAACACCAAUUGCGAAGGCAGCUUACUACGGAUGUAUUGACACUGAGGCACGAAAGCGUGGGGAUCAAACAGG
rnacentral:rRNA from 1 species